rnacentral:lncRNA from 1 species
AUUCAUAAUUCUAGACCAACUUGACAACACUUAAUUCUUUUAAUUAAGUAUUUGGACUGAUGGGUCAGGGUUUGGCUUUUCGAAAAUAAUUUUUAAAUUUGAAAGGUUUUAUUUUUUAUUUACCAAAUAUGUUGACUCAUUUCACAAAUAGAUCAGCACAUUUCAUAAAUAGUAAUCCUAUUGCUAAUUACAUAACAGAAAAUAACUCAAUCAAAAUAAAUCAUGAAUAUUUCUUUAGAUCUAAUCUAACACAUUCAUGAUAAAUUUUAUAAUUGAACCUUUACAAUUAAGUCCUUUCGCUACUUCAUC